rnacentral:rRNA from 1 species
CCUACGGGUGGCUGCAGUGAGGAAUAUUGGUCAAUGGGCGGAAGCCUGAACCAGCCAAGUAGCGUGCGGGAUGAAGGCCCUACGGGUCGUAAACCGCUUUUGCACGGGGAUAACACCCUCCACUUGUGGAGGUCUGCAGGUACCGGGAGAAUAAGGGUCGGCUAAUUCCGUGCCAGCAGCCGCGGUAAUACGGAGGGCCCGAGCGUUAUCCGGAUUUAUUGGGCUUAAAGGGUGCGUAGGCGGGCGUUCAAGUCAGCGGUAAAAUCGCGCGGCUCAACCACGGCCCGCAGUUGAAACUGGGCGCCUUGAGUUGACAACAGGCAGGCGGAAUUCGUGGUGUAGCGGUGAAAUGCAUAGAUAUCACGAGGAACCCCGAUUGCGAAGGCAGCCUGCCGGGGUGCGACUGACGCUGAGGCUCGAAGGUGCGGGUAUCGAACAGGAUUAGAUACCCGUGUAGUC